rnacentral:rRNA from 1 species
GCACAGUGCUGCAUGGCUGUCGUCAGCUCGUGUCGUGAGAUGUUGGGUUAAGUCCCGCAACGAGCGCAACCCUUAUCCCUAGUUGCCAUCAGGUAAAGCUGGGAACUCUGGGGAGACUGCCGGUGAUAAACCGGAGGAAGGCGGGGAUGACGUCAAGUCCUCAUGGCCCUUACAUCCCGGGCUACACACGUGCUAUAAUGGCAGGUACAGAGGGCUGCGAAGCCGCGAGGUGGAGCGAAUCCCAGAAAACCUGUCUCAGUCCGGAUUGAAGUCUGCAACUCGACUUCAUGAAGGCGGAAUCGCUAGUAACCGCGAAUCAGCAGGUCGCGGUGAAUACGUUCCCGGGUCUU